UACGUAGGGGGCAAGCGUUGUCCGGAUUUACUGGGCGUAAAGCGCGUGUAGGCGGUUGUGUAAGUCUGCUGUGAAAUCUCCGGGCUUAACCUGGUGGGGUCGGUGGAAACUGCUCGACUUGAGGACGGUAGAGGGGGGUGGAAUUCCCGGUGUAGUGGUGAAAUGCGUAGAGAUCGGGAGGAACACCAAAGGCGAAGGCAGUGUCCUGGGGAGUACCUGACGCUCAGGUGCGAAAGCCAGGGGAGCGAACGGG
rnacentral:rRNA from 1 species